AGACUUCUUUCUUUUGAUUUUGUCACCUGGCGGCUUAGCAUAGUGACACGUGUUGAUUGGGACGCGUGUCACUUUACCCAUCUCCUCUUUCCCUGCUUUUGCUUUGCUUUAGUUUUUUGUCUCCUCUUCCAGACUCCUCCAUCCUUAUUCCUCAACUUUGGACGACAUCUCCUCCGCUCCAUCUCCUAGCUAACUUUUUCUCUCUAUUUUUUCUCCGACUUCUUUUUUAUUUGUUAAUAUCGAUUUGUUGCCGUUUAUAAAUGAUUCUCAUCGUUUUUUUUUGCAGUUUUCUAUGAAGGUUUAGUUGAACAUGGGGAAAUCAAGAGUUGUUGCUCACAGAAAAACUGAUGCGAAGCUGGUUCAUGAGUUUCUCUGUCUUGAUUAUACUUAUCAUCAAUGUUGAACAGUAAACGUGGAGAUGCGAGCAAGGAGGUUGCGAAGGAUCCGAACAAGCUUAAGAGGCCUGCAAGUGCCUUAUUCGUUGUCAUAUACGUUUUGUUUUUCCAAUGAUUUACUUUUUGUAAUUUAUGAAUUUUUCGUUAAAUUUUAUCUAGAGAGGAUGUUUUUGGCUAAAAAUUUUUAAGAUUUAUUUUCCACUUUGUUUCGAUUUUUUGACCUCUUGGUGUUUCAAAGACACAAACCAACACACAACCCACAUAUUAAUAACAUUAUCACUCCUACCUGUUAAUUUUAUUAUUUUUUUCAGAUAAAUUUUGAGGCCAAAGUUGUUCGCUUUUUUAGUUUCUGCUGCUGCUCGGCUGCCUUCAGACUAUGUUGGCUAAACAACAAAAUGGGGGAAAUGGUAAAAAAACUAAUACCAAUGAUGCAAUUCAAGUCUCCACAAAUAGGCCUCAGUCGCAGGGAGGCUGUAUAGAUCUCCAAAGAACUAAGAAUGGUGUAAAACAGGUUCCCAAUUCCAGUUACCAGGUUUCCAGAUCAUU